UACGUAGGGUGCGAGCGUUGUCCGGAAUUACUGGGCGUAAAGAGCUCGUAGGUGGUUUGUCGCGUUGUCCGUGAAAACUCACAACUCAAUUGUGGGCGUGCGGGCGAUACGGGGCAGACUGGAGUACUGCAGGGGAGACUGGAAUUCCUGGUGUAGCGGUGGAAUGCGCAGAUAUCAGGAGGAACACCGGUGGCGAAGGCGGGUCUCUGGGGCAGUAACUGACGCUGAGGAGCGAAAAGCGUGGGGGAGCGAACAGG
rnacentral:rRNA from 1 species